rnacentral:rRNA from 1 species
AACGAACGCUGGCGGCAUGCCUAACAUAUGCAAGUCGAACGAGACCUUCGGGUCUAGUGGCGCACGGGUGCGUAACGCGUGGGAACCUGCCCUUAGGUUCGGAAUAACUCCCCGAAAGGGGUGCUAAUACCGGAUAAUGUCUUCGGACCAAAGAUUUAUCGCCUUUGGAUGGGCCCGCGUUGGAUUAGCUAGUUGGUAGGGUAAAAGCCUACCAAGGCGACGAUACAUAGCUGGUCUGAGAGGAUGAUCAGCCACACUGGUACUGAGACACGGCCCAGACUCCUGCGGGAGGCAGCAGUGGGGAAUAUUGGAAAAUGGGGGAAAGCCUGAUCGAGCAAUGCCGGGUGAGUGAUGAAGUCCGUAGGGUUGUAAAGCUCUUUUACACGGGAUGAUAAUGACAGUACCGGGAGAAUAAGCUCCGGCUAACUCCGUG